rnacentral:lncRNA from 1 species
AUUAUGAACCAGAUCUCAUAAGUGUUUUGCACAGAUGACACAUAAUACCAAUAUUCUAGCUUAUAGGAAAAGCUGCAUGGCACUUUUAAUACAAUUAUAGGCACAAAGAGACAUCAGCCCUGAUCUUAGAGAUUGCAUUUAAACAAAUAUCAAAACUGUCACUGAAUUUAAAAAAAAAAAAAAAAAAAAGCUCCUUGGAUGCAAUUGCCUCUUUUAUUGUUACCUUUGCUCAGCAUCAUGAGAGAGCUAUUAGGAGGCACAAAUAGCCAGCCCUUCCCCUAGCCUGUCUGCUCAUAUAGUCCAGGCAUACUGGACCUCCCAUCCUAAGGCAGAAGUCCCAUACUGCUCCUCACCAUUAGCAUAACAGGUAUUGCUGGUGCAAGUGGUGGUUCAAAGCAGAUGAGAGCAUCCUGAAAGUGCUCUAAUUUAGAUUGGGACAAGACCUCUAGAUCUCACCACUAGCAUGUUUUUAUAUUAUGUGCUCCAUAAUGAUUGAGCUCCCAGCUGAUCAGCAGCACACCAUUGUCCCUAUCUUCUCUGUUAUUUAGCUCCCACGGUAGAAGGAAGAGGUUGCCUGUGCUUGGAAGAGCAUGAAAAGGAGGAUUACUGAAGGAGCACUCCUUGCUGUUCUGAUAGCGCAGUCACCCUGUGCGGCACCGGGAGCAAGGGAAGUUAAGAAAUAAAAAGGAGGCAGAAAACUUCUCCAAUACUGAUUUGCUGCGUGGAGUUGAAAGCACGAACAUAAACAGAUGGCACAGGCUUCAUCUGCGCACAGACCCAAGCGGCCUUCCAGCGCCUUCGCCUUCACGGUGACACCUCCUCCAGCCCUGCCCCUGGCGACCGUGCAACAGCCCUGGGCCAAGUGGAGCAACGACUACACAGCCAAGUUGUACCAGAGAAUGAUUCAGUAUAUGCUUUUCAUCUUUUAGCGCACUUUAACUACCGAAAAUUCGGAAAAGUGUCAGCAUCCAGUAACCAGCAAGGUCUACCGUGUGUCCCACCCGAAUCAUCAGCUGGUUAUCAGGCCACAGCUGUAGGAUACCACAUGUCAAGGAGGAGCUCUCACUAUGUACAUGAUGCUUCCUUCUUGUUAGAAAAAAUAAAAAUAUAUAUAUUCUUUUCUGACUUCCCUAAAGGAGCAAAAUUGCCAAGCAGGAAGCAAACUGUGUUAAGAGAUAAAGGGAGUUAUAAUCACAGGCUUAGUACCAGCACAGAAGUCUCUAAGAGCAACUGCACUCAGAAAAAAAUUACUCAGUAAACAUCUGAAUGUCUGCUAAACCAAAAAUAUGACUCAUUAGGUACCAACUGACUGUCAGUGACUACUGUUUGUUUGUUCUCAAUUUUUAUUUAAUUCUUCUAACUCAGAUAAAUAAAUCUUGCUCCAGCCCUAAUGUGUGACUCA